GUACCAAUGUUUUCUUAGGUCAUUCUCCCAACCCAAAAUAAAGAAAAGGAAAAAUAAACAAAUGGACCUAAUCAAACUUAAAAGCUUUUGCAAAGCAGAGGAAAUCAUAAACAAAAUGGAAAAAACAAAACAAAACAAAACUAUGGAAUGGGAGAAGAUAGUUGCAAAUGAUGCAAUCGGCAAGGACGUGGUCUCUAAAAUAUGCAAACAGCUUAUACAAUUCAACAAUAAAAAAACAACCUGGAGUUCCUGCUGUGGCGCAACGGGGUCUUUGGCACUUGGGAGUGCUGGGAUGCAGGUUGAAUCCCCAGCCCAGCACAGUGGGUUAAGGAUCCGGUGUUGCCACAGCUGCAGCUUAGGUCACAACUAUGGCUCAGAUAUGCUCCCUGGCUCGGGAACUCCAUAUACCCAGGUGCAGCCAACAAAGAAACAAGCAAACAAACAAACAACCCAAUCAAAAAAUAGGCAGAAGACUUAAAUAGAAAUUUCUCCAAAGAAGACAUACAAAUGACUAAUAGGCACAUGAAAAUGGACUCAACACUGCUAAUUUUUUUUGCCACGACCAUGGCAUGUGAAAGUUCCAGGGCCACAGCCGUGACCCAAGCCGCAGCAGUGACAAUGUGAGAUCCUUAACCUGCUGUGCCCACCACCAGCGACCUCCUCAACAUUGCUAAUUAUUAGAGAAAUGCAAACCAAAACUGCCAUGAGGUACCACCUCACACCAGUUAGGAUGGCCAUCAUUAAAAGUCUACAAAUAACAAAUGCUGGAGAGGGUGUGGAGAAAAGGGAACCCUCCUACACUGUUGGUGGGAAUGUAAAUUGGUACAGCCACUAUGGAGAAUUGUAUGGAGGUUCCUCAAAAAACUGAAAACAGAACUACCAUAUGAUCCAGCAAUCCCAUUCCUAGGUAUCUAUCUGAACAGAACUGGAAUUUGAAAAGAUACAUGCACCCCUAUGUUCACAGCAGCACUGUUUAUAAUAGCCAAGACAUAGAAACAACCUAAAUGUCCAUUGACAGAUGAAUGGCUUAAGAAGAUGUGGUACAUACAUACAAUGGAAUACCAUUCAGCCACAAAAAGAACAAAAUAAUGCCAUUUGCAGCAACAUGGAUGCAACUAGAGAUUUUCAUACUAAGUGAAGUCAGACAGAGAAAGGCAAAUAGCAUAUGAUAUCAUCUAUAUGUGGAAUCUAAAAUACAGCACAAAUGAACUUAUCCAGUUAAGAGAAACAGACUCACAGACACAGAGAACAGAUUUGUGGUUGCCAACGGGGAGGGAAGGUUUUGGAGUUUGGGAUUAUCAGGUGCAAAUUAGUAUAUAUAGGAUGAACUGUAUAGUAUAUACAGUUCCCUACUGUAUAGCACAUACAGUUCCCUACUGUAUAGCACAGGGAACUAUAUUCAAUAUCCUGUAAUAAACUAUAAUGGACAAAAUUUUAAAUUAUUAAUUUCUUCUUUUUAGGGUCACACCCCAGGCAUAUGGAGGUUCCCAGGCUAGGGGUCAAAUCGGAGCUGUGUGGGGAGGAGCUAAGGCAAGAAGUGAGUCCUGCCCAGCAGCCAGGGUGGAAAGGAAGGAUAUUUCAAAUGGACAUAAAAGCAUGGAGAUGUCCAAGAACUUGAAGUUUUGUUGAUUUGUUUGUUUGUCUUUUCUUAGGGCUGCACCCAAGGCACAUGGAAAUUCCCAGGCUAGGGGUCAAAUUGGAGCUGCAGCUGCUGACCUACGCCAUAGUGGGAUCCGAGCUGCAUCUGCAACCUAAACUAUAACUUGAGGCAACACUGGAUCCUUAACCCACUGAACAAGGCCAGAGAUUAAACCCAUAUCCUCAUGGACACCAUGUGGGAUUCUUAUGGCCGAACCAUAAUGGAGAUUCCCAAAGGUUUUUUGGUUUCUCUUUGGCUAUGCCUAUGGCAUGUAGAAAUUUCCAUGCCAGGGAUCAAAUCUGUGUCACAGCAGCAACUGAAGCUGUUGCUGUGACAAUGCUGGAUCCUUAACCCACUGAGCCACUAGGGAACUCCUGAGCCCAGAGUUUUAAAAAAUUGAAAAUAGUUCCAAAAUACUGAGUUGAGCUUCUACUUCUAGCCAGGAUGGAGUCACAGCAGCUGGAUUUACCCUUCUCCUAUCUGAAACUAUUUUAUUUUAUUUUAUUUUAUUUUUUUCUGUCUUUAUAGGGCCGCACCCGCGGCACAUGGAGGUUCCCAGGCUAGGGGUCCAAUUGGAGCCACAGCUGCCAGCCUACGCUAGAGCCACAGCAAUGAGAAUCUGAGCUGCGUCUUCAACCUACACCACAGCUUACGGCAACGCCAGAUCCUUAACCCAUGAGCAAGGCCAGGGAUUGAACCCACAACCCUAUGGUUCCUAGUUGGAUUUGUUUCCACUGCACCACAAUGGGAACUCCUGAAACAAUUUUAAAAAGAGGAAAGGAGUUUCCUCUGGGGCACAGUGGGUUAAGGAUCUGGCAUUGCCUCAGCU
rnacentral:lncRNA from 1 species